GAGAUGAGAUUUGUAAUGCGUAUAGAAAUGUUUUUUCCUAUCUGGUUUGUAAAUAAGUAGGAAUCAUGGUGCACUUGAGGGGUCUCUUGAAAACUCCUGGAAGUGAGAAUCACUGCUCUGAAUUUGAACUGACUCUGGGAUCUAGCUGCUGCAUUUUGCCUUUCUUACGUAAUUGUAUUUUGGAAUGUAACCCUUGUCUUCACCACCUUCAUUGGCAGGAUUUCCUUGUGUUGUGGAACACUAUCACGAGAGCUUCCAGCUUUUGAAGCUCCUGGGCAGUGCCUAGGAGAUACUAUCUCUUCCCUCUCCCCUCUUUUCUUUACCCCACAUCCCACACAGCAUAUUUUCCCAACCCAGUUUGUGAGGUUGUUUGAUAUGUUUUUGGCAGGUAAGUUCUUUCUGACUUCUAUGUUUAACAUCCUUCCUGCCAAUCUUGAAAAAAUAGGAUUCCCUGUAAUCUUACUGUAUACAAAGAUAUUGGCAAGGUAAAAGCCCAGUAAUUAUAAUUGCUUUGUUGGUCUUAUACUAUUAAUACUAGGACCUAAAAGUCCUGUGCUCUGACCUCCUUGCUCCUUAAUGAAGAAAGAAGUAGGUGAAGGAUACCCUUUCCUCACCCUUCUACCCUUUUCAUGUCCAAAAGAUUUCAUUCAAUGCCUUAGCCAAGGAGAGCAGCAUCUUCCUCCCUUGCUUGUCCCCUCCUAACUUUUCCUCCUGGCUUCUCCGGGCUCCUUUGGUGGCUGUUAGUGGAGGGUCUGCUCAGCAGUAACCAAGGGAAUCAUCCUCAGGAUAAAAGGAGCAUUUUAGACUCUAAACAUUUUUCUUUAGCUUUCUUGGAAGAAAACAAAUAACCUCUUCCUGUCUGGAGGACAUGUUUGGCUCUGGUAUUGCAUAAUUAUAUAAAGACUUGAAUAGGUGGCCCGAGGUUCUCAGGAAUAACUGCUGCAAAUAGUGUACUAUCUAACAAGGUAGUACUCUGGAGCUGCCUAAUGCUAAUACUUGGCAAGGCCAGCUUGGGGAGGGCUCAGACUUCAGAGAGAAAGAGUCCACAUGUCUUUUUCCUGUAACUUGCCAGCAAACUGAAAUCUCUAAGGCCCCCUCUUCUCACUGAUCCCAGACUUAUUCUUAUCCCAAGGGAUUGAAUGAAAAUUACGUAUGUGAUAUAUAAAAGAUGUAGCAGUGUGGAGAGGGAUUGUGAAAUCAGGACAGUGGGCUUUCACCCCCACCCUGCAAAGAGCAUGUUCUUGCUAGACCAAGAAUCCUGUUUUUUUUUUUUUUUACACAUCUGUAAAUAGAUGGAAUGUUUUUAAGAAUAUAAUAAUGUCAAAUUUAGCUUUUCCUUUUAUAUAUUAAAAAUAUAACUUUCCCUCUUUUCUGCUUUUGAAAAAUGAUUAUUUUUUUAGAAGUCUUAACAAUAGGAAAUGUUUGGUGACUGAGAGAGGCAUAAUGUAUAAACCUGAAAUAAAUCAAUCAUGUUAAUUAAGGUGUUGGGAGGUUUGUGCUGGUUUGAAGAAGGGGAUGGAAAUAUUGAGACAGACCUUAAUACUGAAAAUUUAUCUUGGACUGGCCUUUUUCUUGGAAACUUCAUGUUGUACCUUUUGGGAAGAAUGUUGAGACACUAUAAGGUGUGACUUCAUAUACCAUUUAUCUCCAUUAACUAGGUCUUACAGGGAGUCUCUCACAAUAAAGUGAGGCUAGCAG
rnacentral:lncRNA from 1 species